AAACUCAAAAACCUCAGACAAAGAGGACUAGAAUUUUACAUAAAAAGCCGCGUUGUGCAGUACAAAAGUUAGAAGAGGCAUCUCAAAUAGUGGAAAGUGCCAAACUCCGCAACACGGUAGUGUUCCAGUGUUUCCAGGAAGAGCACGAAACAAAACAAAGGCAGGUGGCUGAAACACAUGAGCUCAAACAGAAGCAACUUGCCGAAGCUCACGAAAGGGCUAGACAGAAGCAUCUUCUAAGGCUCAAAUUGUUACAGCAGCAAUUAAAUAAAUAAUUAUAUACUUAUAAAAA